rnacentral:rRNA from 1 species
CAUUCCUAGAAAGCAUGAGGAAUAAGUGCUGGGUAAGACGGGUGCCAGCCGCCGCGGUAACACCCGCAGCACGAGUAGUGGUCACUUUUAUUGAGCCUAAAGCGUUCGUAGCCGGUUUUGUAAAUCUUCAGAUAAAGCCUGAAGCUUAGCUCCAGAAAGUCUGAAGAGACUGCAAGACUUGAAAUCGGGUGAGGUUAAACGUACUUUCAGGGUAGGGGUAAAAUCCUGUAAUCCCGGAAGGACGACCAGUGGCGAAAGCGUUUAACUAGAACGAAUCUGACGGUAAGGAACGAAGGCUAGGGUAGCAAACCGGAUUAGAUACCCGGGCAGUCCUAGCUGUAAACAUUGCCCAUUUGAUGUUGCUUUUCCGUUGAGGGAAGGCAGUGUCGGAGCGAAGGUGUUAAAUGGGCCGCUUGGGAAGUAUGGUCGCAAGACUGAAAC